CCUGAAGGGACUCUGAAGGCACCGACUCGAGGCCAUGUGUCCCAACAAAAUGAAUACACAGGCAGCCGCCGAGUUACAACUAUCCAACUGAGGAACAAACAUCGAACUGGGUUGCUUUUCCAACAGAUCUCAGAACUUCCAAGGAUGCCUGCCGUAGAUGUGGGGAAAACGUCGGGAGGUAAUGCUUCUGGAACAUGGCCAUACAGCCUGGAAAACUCACAGCAACCCAAUGAUUCUGGCCAUGAAAGUCUUCAACAACACAUUAAACAUCGAACUGAGAAACAUACAUCCAAGGAAAGUCCGCCCCUCUCUUGGAGACAAAGACCACGUUCCUGAAGUGACUCUUAAGGAAUGGAAUAGAUGCCAUGUGUCCCAAUAUAAUCAAUACACAAGCAGUCCUCCAGUUACAAACAGACAAGGCUGAGGCAACAGGAAGUGAGAGAAAUAAGCCCUUCGGAAGGGAAAUUCACUCCGGGAAGAAAAAAUGUCUCCACUGAAGCUUUCUCACCAAUCCUUGUUUCCACAACAAGCCAAAUGUUUUAAAAUCCAAUUUUCACAGGGACAAAAAGUGAAGUGACAUCUUCCAAACAGUGGCACAGAGAGCAAAACAAAUUGGGAUGUUCCACAAGAAUGUUUACCCUUCCCUAGGCUGUCCAAAGCUAAAACAUAUAUACAAUGUGUCACGCACCACUAACAACAAAUAAUUCUGGGUUUUUUAAAAGUAAAAGUUUCCCUUGGGACCACGUUCAUGAGGGGGGCAACUCUGAAGGAGGGGUUUAUGCUUGGAAUAUGCAUUGCUCAUCCAUUUUAAUGAAAUUUUAACUGAGUUGUUUUAAUGAUUGUAACAUUUAAUUCUAUUUUAAUACUUACGUUUUGUAAGUUUUUCAAAAUAUGUAGUUUUUAAGGUUGUGAGCCGCUUUGGGGCUCAGUCCUGAGAGAAAAGCAGGAUAUCAGUAAAUAUCAUAUCGUCUUUAUCAUCCUUGUCCAACUCACAAUCUCACCAGGAUGGGUUUAUUCCAAGGAAUGCAGGGACCCUGCACCAUUCAGAACAAUUUUUCAGUCAUCACCACCGAAGUAUGUUUUACUACAUGAUGAAGGGUUUAUGGGCUCUGCUGUUUUGCAACUCAACCCUCUUUGCAACCUGGCACUUCUUUUCAAAAGUUUAAAAGAAAAUAUCCAAUUCUUCCAGUUGUAUCAACAAAUUGUAUUCAGGAUAAUCAGAAGGUGAUACUUCUCAUAUUUUAGGAAAGAUGCCAAACACUGUCUUCUAGGCUUGUGCAUUUUGGCAGGACCUUAAUCUGUUUCUGGUACUCCAAUUUGGAGGGGGUAGCCAUUUUUGCAUGCCUCCCAAAAAUGUCCAGCUGGACAAGAGUUUUCGUUCCAUAGCCAAAAAAUGUGGUUUGAUCCGGCCCAUUGGCAGUAAUGGGCGAGGGGGCUCCACAGGCUCCCCCCCCCCCCGUCAUUUUCAGGGCUAUUGAUGUGAAAAUGGCUACAUUUGGAGGACACAUCUACCACUUCCUUGUACAAUGCUUUUGACACGAAAUAAAUCUACCACUUCCUGCCCACCAAGUUUCAGAACGUUUGGGUCAUCUCAUAUUUAGGAUUUUUUUUCUUUCUAGAAAUACAGUGUUCCCUCACUACUUCGCGGUUUGCUUUUUGCGGAUUUGCUGUUUUGCGGUUUUUCAAUAAACUCUAAAAGACUGUUAUAAAUCAUAAGAAAUUACAAUGUACAGCCUAAGGAAGGGAGGAAGGAGAAAUUGAAGGGAGAGAAAAGGAGCCCAAGCAGCAAUGGGAGAAGAAGGAGGCGAUUUAUCAACACACGAUUGGUUGAUAAAGACUUAAAAUAGUGUAUAAGUACUAAAAUAAUGUAUAAAUAUUAAAAUAAAUAUAGUAUCCCUACUUCACGGAUUUUCACUUAUUGUGGGUGGUCCUGGAACGUAACCCCCGCGAUAAGCGAGGGAACACUGUAAUACCUCUUUAAAAAAAUCCCAAAAAGAUAUCCUACACUGUAACUUCUCCAGGAGCAACAGCAGGGCACCAUUUUUCCUGCCAAUGUCAAAAAUGCCCUUCCACAACAGCCUAAUGAUUAUAAUUUUUAUUAAUUGAAAUUAAGAAGACAGUGAGAUUGCAAAUGAUAGUUUUGGUCUAAGACAAGUAGAAUUUUACUUUUGUUUCUUGCUGGUACAAUCCUUUGGAAGAUUAUUAUAUUAACAACAAUACCCUUUUAUGUCCAGAAUCAGGGACGAUAGGUUCUGUUGGCUUGGCAAAGAUGCCACAGAAGACCAACGCUUUUGUUGUUAUUGUUAUUUUUGGUAGCCGGCAGCAGCCAGAUUAUUAUUUAUGACUUGAAAUUAAGAAUGCAGAGAGAUUGCAAAUGAUAGGUUUGGUCUAAGGCAUGUAGAACUUUGUCUUUAUUUCUUUGCUGGAACAAUCCUUUGGAAGAGUAUUAUAUUAACAAUAACCUUUUAUUAUAUGAUUAUAAUUACAGUAGAGUCUCACUUAUCCAAGCCUCGCUUAUCCAAGUUUCUGGAUUAUCCAAGCCAUUUUUAUAGUCAAUGUUUUCAAUAUAUCGUGAUAUUUUGGUGCUAAAUUCGUAAAUACAGUAAUUACAACAUAACAUUACUGCCCAUUGAACUGCUUUUUCUGUCAAAUUUGUUAUAAAACAUUAUGUUUUGGUGCUUAAUUUGUAAAAUCAUAACCUAAUUUGAUGUUUAAUAGGCUUUUCCUUGAUCCCUCCUUAUUAUCCAAGAUAUUCGCUUAUCCAAGCUUCUGCCGGCCCGUUUAGCUUGGAUAAGUGAGACUCUACUGUAAUUGAGAUUAGGAAGGCUGACAGUACAGAGAGAAAUAUAAACAGAAAUAACUUGUUUGCAAAGAAUAAAAAUGGUGGUAAGUUUAGGGAGUAGAAUGAGGCCUUGCUGGAAUUAUUAUUAUUAUCAAUAAUUAUCUUUUAAAAGUGAUUUAUGAAGGUGGGGAGGGAGGAGAAAGAAUAUAAGGAGAGGAGAGAAGGGAAGAAGCUAAAAGGCGACUCAAGGCUCAGAGCCACCCUAAAGAAAAGCACAUCCACUCACCCAAGAGAUGCUUUCUUUUUUCUCCCCAAAUGCACCCACCCACCCGCACUCUCCAACUCCGAGUCCCACUAAAUAUAAAUCAAGAAAAUGAAGGAAAAUAAAAAAGAUUCCAUUCUACAAGCCAAGCCAAACCAAAAACUAAAAUGUGUAUAUGAAAUGUAUUCUUGUGUUUCUGCAUCAUGUAUGGCUGAUAGUGUUGUAGUUCAGCCCAUAGUUGUGCCUGCUCCUAAUGUCUACGAGAAGCGGAUCAUGGGAUUUCUGGGCCUGCGAACCAGCAUGAGAUUUUAGGUCCUGAAACUGAGUAGUCUGUGUCUCUAGCAGCGAGUGAAGCCCACAUUCCAAAGAGGGGCCCAGAUGCUGCUGAGAAGUCUUUCUCUAGGGAAGCAAGGUCAGAGGCUGAAAUGAGUUCAGAGGAUGAAAUCCCAGGUGGAGAGGAUAAUGAGCUGAUAGGUGGAGAGGAUAAUGAACUGACUUCAUUUUCGUAAACUCCAGGCUGCUCAACAGACUUGGCAAAAGUCACAGUGCUUGUUUGAGGAAAAAGCCGUUAUCAGGGAAGACAGCAUGAUUUCAUGUCUGUAUUAGUGAGACCAGAGGGAUUUUCCAGCAAUCUGGUCAACGUUGGUUAUUGAGGCCACAUCUCUUGCCAUGUCCUGGUCAAGCCUGCUAAGGAAAUUUAGUUCCAUGUCUUUAUUUGUUCAUGUUUCAUGCUACCAAGUUUAAAGGACUGUUCCUGGAUUUUUGUAUGGGAUUUUAUGCUUACUUGUGUAUCCUGCUUCUUUUGUAUUUCUGUAUUGGAAGCCCUGUUGUUCUGGGUUUUUGAAACUAUUCUUGUACCAUUAAUCUUGUGGACUAUUUCAUACAUUUAGACUUUGACGUUUUUACUACUUUUGCUAAACUGUUUUUUAUAUAAUCUUCAGUAAACUGCUUUGCUGAUUUAACUGGGACUGGAGUGUGGUGGUAAAGUACAGAGGUGCUUCCUGUCCUGGAGUGCAACAAAUAGUUCAUAUUCUAAGGAGGACAGACUUAAUUCAUAUUUAGCACCCAUUUGAAAAAAUCAGAUCUUAUAGAUACUAUACAUCAGUGGUUCUCAACCUGGGGUCCCCAGAUGUUUUUGGCCUACAACUCCCAGAAAUCCCAGUCAAUUUACCAGCUGGGAGUUGAAGGCCAAAAACAUAUGGGGACCCCAGGUUGAGGACCACUACUAUACAUGGUCAUGUGAUCAUUUGAAAAGGAAAUACUUUCACACAGUCCGUUUAUAAGAUAUAACAUUGAUCUUCAGCUUUGUAGUUGAUUUUAUUAGAAGAAACACUUUUAUCCCUCCUGAGCAGCUUCUCAUUUUUUUUACCUUUCUGACAUAAAAAUGAAAUAGCUGUAAAAUCUAGACUGCUGACAAUGGUAUUUUACAGCCGCACAUUUAAACAUCCUGUUGUAAUAUGAGCAGAGUAAAGUUUUAGGCUUAUUUCUGGCAACAGCAAUUGCAAGUUAUCAACUGCUGAAUAUGUACAAGAUUUCCUCAGUAUCAGGACAUUUUAAUUUCACUCUGAUCAGUCUGCUUCGUGAAGAAAAUCAUAAGCCAUCCUUUCAGCAAGCUGUGGUUGGCAGCAGUUUACCAGGUUUUCUUAUGCUCAUUAUGAGAAUAUGUAGCUCAUAUGAAACACUAAAGAUUAAAUUCACACAUGCAAUUACAAUUAAAAUUGACUAUUGUUUGAGUCAUUUCACACAUGGCAAUUAGUGAUUACAUACUAAUAAAUUGUUGUUGUUGUUGUUGAUUACAUACAUGUGUUUUAUGUAUAUCCAUAUUGCUUGUAACAUAAGAUAUGUGGCAGUUCUGGGGUUGAUUUUCAAACUAUUUUUAAUAUGCCUUGUGUAUAUAAACUAUGUUGGUCGACGGCACAUAGUGAACACUGAGGUUAAAAACAAUAUGUAGAGCUCUCAGGUGACAUGAUGUAUGAGAUGGUUGUAUAUCUACUUAUAUAGUAUGUAAAAUGGCUCUUAAAAGUAUCAGGUUUUGCUUAAUACAAUUGUAGAACAACUCUACUAGCGGGAUACAAUAAACAGAGUGAUGGUCGGUGAGUAGGAAGUCUCAAUUCAUUUUGCAAAAUUGUGAGUGAAAAUGUGUGCUUGGAAUGCUUAAAACCAGGUGAACAUACUGUAGCAUGUUUGUAGGGCUAUUGUUGAUUCAUAGCAGAUUUCAAUCUUUGCACUUCUUUCCUCUCUACUGUAUUUGUAUAUAUUAUAUGUUGAUGUGGUUUGACUGUUGUAUCCCGCCUCAAGCUGUUAGGAGAGACAGUCAAGAAAUAUUUAUUGUUGUUGUUGUUAUUGUACUUGUACACACAUUGAAAAUUAUGUGAAGAUUAUAGCUUUAAUAAAUAAUGUCCUUCUGGGGAGAUAGGGCUGAAUAUAAAUAAAGUUGUAUUUAUUAUUA